GAUGAACGCUGGCGGCAUGCUUAACACAUGCCAGUCGGACGGGAAGUGGUGUUUCCAUUCGCGGACGGGUGUGUAACGCGUAAGAACCUGCACUUGGGAGUGGAACAACAGCUGGAAACGGCUCCUAAUACCCCGUAGACUGCUGAUCACACGUAGGAAUCCGCCCGAGGAGGGGAUUGCGUAUGAUUAGCUAGUUGGUGUGGCAGUAGCUUACCAAGGCGAUGAUCAGGAGCUGGUCCGAGAGGAUGAUCAGCCACACUGGGACGGGAAGACGGCCCGGGCUACCACGGGAAGCAGAAGAGGGGAAGUUUCAGCAAUGGGGGAAAGGCUGAGAGGGCAAUGCGGCGGGGAAGUAGAGGGCCCAGGGGUGGAAAGCUGCUUUGCCCGGAGAAGAAGCAAUGAAGGUAACUGGAGAAGAAGCACAGGCUAAAUCAGUG
rnacentral:rRNA from 1 species